GGUUUUGAUUUAAGGCCCCUGCCCCUGGGAGAUGGGGCCUCUCAUCAGCACACACAGUGAUGCUUCAGUGUAAAUGAACACCGAGGAGUCUGUGUCUAGCACAGAAAGCUCCAGGCUGAACCAGGAUGUCUGCAGCCAUUGCUAGCCCAGGGGAGGAGGAGGAGCAACCACAGCUAUCAAGAGCCAGUACCCGGACCAGGUGUGGCUGCUGUCUUCACAGGCUUCCUGACAAGCUGGAGACCAUAAAUAAAAGAUUCUCCUUUGGCAGGAACACAGGGGAAUCCUGGUGAGGCCAACAGUGAAAGCAAAAAGCCUGAGGGAAAAGCCUGGAACCUCUGCUGACUCUACUGGGUCACUCCACUUCUCUCUCCGAUCCUAACCGCCUCUGAGAAGCCACCAGUGCCAGGCGAGCCACGAUGUCAAAGCUGACACCAACAGCUGUUCUCUGGAGAAGCCGCUGCCUCUGUGCCCAUUAGGGCUGCAGUGAACUGUGGGCUACCCUGACACAAAGUGGGGACCUGCUUGCUUGCAUUAGGGAACUCAGCUAACCCAGACCUUCAUACUGACACAUGCCCUCGCAGACCAAAGGCCAAAACCAAAAUAAAACGGAAGAGUGG
ensembl:processed_transcript 5730435O14Rik RIKEN cDNA 5730435O14 gene